rnacentral:rRNA from 1 species
CGGAGGAUCCAAGCGUUAUCCGGAUUUAUUGGGUUUAAAGGGUGCGUAGGUGGGUUAUUAAGUCAGUGGUGAAAGCCUGCAGCUUAACUGCAGAACUGCCAUUGAUACUGAUAGUCUUGAGUAUAGUUGAGGUGGGCGGAAUGUGUCAUGUAGCGGUGAAAUGCUUAGAUAUGACACAGAACACCGAUUGCGUAGGCAGCUCGCUAAACUACAACUGACACUGAGGCACGAAAGCGUGGGGAGCAAACAGGAUUAGAUACCCUGGUAGUCCACGCCCUAAACGAUGAUCACUCGAUGUGUGCGAUAUACAGUACGCGUCUAAGCGAAAGCAUUAAGUGAUCCGCCUGGGGAGUACGGCCGCAAGGUUG